rnacentral:ncRNA from 1 species
CGCUAGAUUUGUCGGUUAAAAACGGCAGGAAUCUAGGGAUAGCAUCGACUGUGGGAUAGGUUUGAGAUAGAUGCAAGGGUGGCGAAGCUAGUGCCCUUAACCAAACGACUGGCGGGU